rnacentral:rRNA from 1 species
UACGUAGGGGGCAAGCGUUGUCCGGAUUUAUUGGGCGUAAAGAGCGUGUAGGCGGCCAAGCAGGUCCGCUGUGAAAACUCGAGGCUCAACCUCGAGAGGUCGGUGGAAACCGUUUGGCUAGAGUCCGGAAGAGGAGAGUGGAAUUCCCGGUGUAGCAGUGAAAUGCGUUGAUAUCGUCGGGAACACCAAAGGCGUAGGCAGGCACCUGGCAUACUCAUGACGCUUAGGCACGAAAGCUGGGGGAGCGAAAGGG